UAUACGAUGAAGAGUUUGAUCCUGGCUCAGGAUGAACGCUAGCGGCAGGCCUAACACAUGCAAGUCGAGGGGUAUAGAGAGCUUGCUUUCUAGAGACCGGCGGAUGGGUGAGUAACGCGUAUGCAACCUACCUUUUACAGGGGAAUAGCCCGGAGAAAUUCGGAUUAAUGCUCCAUGGUUUAUAAGAGUGGCAUCACUUUUAUAAUAAAGAUUUAUCGGUAAAAGAUGGGCAUGCGUAUCAUUAGCUAGUUGGUGUGGUAACGGCAUACCAAGGCGACGAUGAUUAGGGGUCCUGAGAGGGAGAUCCCCCACACUGGUACUGAGACACGGACCAGACUCCUACGGGAGGCAGCAGUGAGGAAUAUUGGUCAAUGGAGGCAACUCUGAACCAGCCAUGCCGCGUGCAGGAUGACGGUCCUAUGGAUUGUAAACUGCUUUUGUACGGGAAGAAAUGUGAUUACGUGUAAUUAUUUGACGGUACCGUAAGAAUAAGGAUCGGCUAACUCCGUGCCAGCAGCCGCGGUAAUACGGAGGAUCCGAGCGUUAUCCGGAAUUAUUGGGUUUAAAGGGUUCGUAGGCGGUU
rnacentral:rRNA from 1 species